UCACGGUUGGGUGGAAUAUCGUUUCCAUAUCUUUUCGCAAAAAUUCUUCAUUUUAAAAAAACGUUCUUGCCACUUUAAGAUAUUUGCAGAAAAUAGCUUAUAAAAAUAGUUAUGUUAAAGUUAUUAUGUACUAUAUAGUUACAUUACCCUACAGAACCCUCCACGUUUUGCAAGAAUGGAGAAACAUACAUGGAUAGGAUCUUUCAAAUGCAUUCAACUUGAGCAGCGGGAUAGCAUUUGUGAUUCACGCGUGUGUCGGGAGUGCCGUGUAAAGUUCCGCGUAUCGGGAGUGCCGUGUGAAGUUUCGCGCGUCGGGAGUGCCGUAUAUAGUGUCGGGCGAUCGUAAUUAUUUGUAUUUUCGCGAGUGUUGUGAGUGCUACCAAGAGAGGAGGAGGAGGCCUGGGAAGGCAUCGAGCGACAGCAGAGUAACUGUGAGAUCACUAUGUGCUGAGUACUACAACUUCACUAUUGCACGUGGCGGCUCUACUCGGUAUAUAUACGGACGAUGACGACGAUGACGACGAUUUGCACAUGGAUGUAGGUAUGUAUGGUAUACGUAGCGCCGCAGAAGAGUUGCCCUAUAUAUCGCCCGCGUGAAUUACCGGGUAUUACUUCGUAUGAGUGAGUUUGUAAGAUCUAUUGAGUUAUUAUACGUCGCGUUACGUAACGCACGAUGAGCGAAAUGCAAAUCGGAUAUUAUAUAUAUAUAUAUAUAUG